CUGACUAAGUUAAAUUUACAAUGUUUUCCAUAUUCUAAGCAAAAAACAAAAAGACAUUCAUGAUAGAGUGACCAAAUUCGACCAGUGUAAUUGAAUUCGGGUCGAAAUUUUUUUGACAUGAUUAAUAAACGAGUCGUGUUCGAAUUGACCCAUUUAUAGACUUAUUUUUUAAUCGAAUAAUAGCAUUUUAUUUUCAAUCGAAUAUAUAGUCGGUACUUUUCCUAUGGCCGAAAAAAAAAAAGAAAAAAAGGAAAAUACCGAAAAAGCCCCGGCCCGAGCCUCGACUUCCAUUCGUCUUCUUCAUCGUUCACGCGGCGACUUCGGACCAAUCGGAACCGCUCCGAUCCGAUCCGAUCCCAUCCGAUCAUCCUCGAACCGAUCGCGGACUCCAAACGCCUUCCACGCCGGCGAUUCCGAUGCUGUACGUCGCCGCAAUCCUCUCUUUUGCUUCGCGCGUUGUUGCGGCCAUUCGAUGCUUCUUCUUCUGCCGAUUUUUCUCCCAAGUCCUGGCUCGGCGAUGGCCGUCGCUGCUUGUAUCCGAGAAAUCCGGAACCAUCUCGCUCCCGUCGCCGUGUUUCCUUGUUGCAGCAGCUUAGGUUCGAUCGAUGUCGGAAAGGCGCGUUUGGCCGGAGAAACCGACACGCGCGCGCGACGAAAGUUGCAUUUGCCCUACAUAGAUACUGUAAUUCCCAGCUGCUGUUCAGGAGUUGUGCUGUAGCUUUGCGAGUUAUCAUCGGCGGUUGUAGAAUCAAAGGUUGUCGGGCCUCUCUGGUCUGGACUUUGACUCAUGGUUGUAUUAAGAUGACAGUUGCUCUUUUUCAUGGUCAAGAGAAUGGUAGGAAGGGCCGACCUGUGUGGCAAGCUUAUCUGUCGGUGUUAUCACGGGCGUGUCGGGUUGGUGCCAUAGCUGCUUGACCCGGCAAGGACAAUGACAGUUUGGACUUGAAGGGGCUUCUCUUUUUUUUCUUCAAAGAACAAAAAUUUCUGCGACAUAUGGUUUUAGUUUGAGCUCCUUCUGCAAACUUGCAGUAGACGAGUUGCUUGUUCUGUCGGGGGCUCUGAUCAGAGAUGUUGGUUAAACAGGUGCAGUAGCUCAGUCUGUUUCUGCUCAAGGUGAUGUCUAGCAAUUUGCAGCUUGAACCUGAAAGUGAGUACCUGUGAAUGUCAUUUGCACUGUAGAUCGAGCCCUAUUUGGUAGGAUGCGUUCUUGUUCGAUGGUGUCAUGCCCAGUGGGACCGUUUAUAAGCGUUAAGUUUUUCUUUUUGGGUCUAGCAUCUUUAGCGCAAGCCUAAUGAUUUCCCACAUUUCGGAGAAAUUUCCUGCAUUUCAACGUGUUAUAAAGAUGUGCUCUAUGCUUUGUCUGGAAAUUGACUCGCGAAAGAUUCUUAUGACUUAUUUUUACAGGGAAUCUGCUUUUACUAACGAAACUGGAAACCGCUUCUUUUGCUGGAUGUGGCUUAGGACUUCCAGAGGAGGUGGGAAAGUAGGUUGACUGAACCUGAGUCAUGGGACAAUCCUCAUGUUUUAGUGCCAUGUUCUUCUCGGGAGAUAAUCAUUCCGACGACUCAGCAACACAGCGUAUUUUUAAUUGAAGUUGGCUUCUGGGGCAGGGGAUGAUGUCGGAGCACCGAAAGUGACGGCGGUUUUUCUUUUCCAACUUGCAUUUCAGGUGGUUCACCACGCCGAUCACUCAAAUCUCAUCAAGUCGCUAUCGAGAUUCGAGACAGAAGUCUGUCUUUCAAACUGCAGACUCGUGCAGCACAAGAAAAAAAGAUCCUUCAUCACACGGAGCUCAACCUUGCAAGUCAUUCUAACCGGGAAGUGUUGUUGCGAGAAAAAGUUUUUUAAGUUCCGUUUCGUGGUGAAAGAAGAAUGAUAGGUAGAGAUGGAGACACACUCGUUAAAAGACAGUCAGUGUGUCAAUGUCUCAAUAAUUCCCCAUCGCAGCAAAUCGCCCACACAGGGGGCGAUGAUGUUAACGCGCGUGAUUUAACCCCAUCC